GACGAACGCUGGCGGCGUGCUUAACACAUGCAAGUCGUACGGUAAGGCCCUUUCGGGGGUACACGAGUGGCGAACGGGUGAGUAACACGUGAGUAACCUGCCCACAACUUUGGGAUAACGCUAGGAAACUGGUGCUAAUACUGGAUAUGUGCUCCUGCUGCAUGGUGGGGGUUGGAAAGCUCCGGCGGUUGUGGAUGGACUCGCGGCCUAUCAGCUUGUUGGUGGGGUAGUGGCCUACCAAGGCGGCGACGGGUAGCCGGCCUGAGAGGGUGACCGGCCACAUUGGGACUGAGAUACGGCCCAGACUCCUACGGGAGGCAGCAGUGGGGAAUAUUGCACAAUGGGCGCAAGCCUGAUGCAGCAACGCCGCGUGCGGGAUGACGGCCUUCGGGUUGUAAACCGCUUUCUGCAGGGACGAAGCUUUUUGUGACGGUACCUGCAGAAGAAGCACCGGCUAACUACGUG
rnacentral:rRNA from 1 species